rnacentral:lncRNA from 7 species
AGACGUCUUUGCUGAUCGCUUCUCCAUCAGCUUGAAAUGUCUUAAAUAUGCACUUUAAGGUUCCUGCUGAUCACUUUGGACUCAAAGAGGAAUUGCUCACCUCCUGAAUGCAGACCUUGAAUAGUCUAAGGAUUUGAAGGGCUUCAACUGAGUCACACAACUCUGAUGGUAGCGGUGCCCAAUCUUCAGCUGUUGCAUCAGCAAAAGGAAGCAUCAGAAGCAGAUGUUGGUGGUACGGCAGUAGAGGCUGAACCUUUCCACCAGUAUUUCCUUCCAUUCUGUUGCCAUGUGACAGAUGGCAGCAGAGGCAGCGUCUGACAUGAAAGUGGGGGUGAAGCAAAGGUGUCCCUGAAUUCCUCUGUGCAGAAAAAAAUGGCACCUAUUGACAUUCACCAAUGCUUGCUGAGCGUUGAUGGAGACCAAACAGUGGACGUGAGCACACAGUGAGGCAGUGGGUGAUGUGUUUCAGCAGUGGUGACAGCAACAUGAAAGACAAGCCAUGUUUCAGAUGGCCACGCACAGCUGUCACACCACUGAAUGAAGAGCAUCUCAAUCACCUAACCCAGGUGAACUGGUGGAUUUCAGAGUACUGUGUACAGAACUGAAUACCAUCUUAAAUGUGUUGGAAACAAUGGUGGCAAUAUUGGAAUAUCGCAAAGUUUGCAGCAGGUGGGUCUCAUGAUUGCUCACACUGGAACAGAAAGAACACUGUAUGCAACUUUGUCAGGACCUACUGAACCAACACAAGGCUGAAGGUGACGGUUUCCUGGUUUCAUUACCAGUAACAAGUUGUGGUGUUACCCUAAGAGCUGGUGUCAAAAUGGCAGUUCAGGGAGUGUCAAUGUGAAUUCCCCAUUGAAGAAAAAGUGCACUGUGCAGCCCUCAGCAUUUAAAGUGAUGUGCACUGUCUUUUUGAGAUAGGAAAGGGGUAAUCCUUUUUGGAGUUCCUGGAACACAGGCAAACCAUCAACUCUGACGGCUACAUCACAAUGCUGACUAAGCUGACGUUCAACUUUCCAGAGUCAGGCCAGAGAAGAAGACGAGGUUUCUCUUGCAACACGAUAAUGCCAGGCUUCAUUCCAGUUUGAAGACUGUGGAGCACUCUGCCAAUCCUGUCUGGACUGUCCUACCACACCCACCAUACAGCCUGGAUUUGGCACCUUUUGAGUUCCAUCUGUUUGGGCUGAUGAGAGAUGGACUGCAUAGGCAACAUUUUCCUAGCAAUGACAUCAUCAUAGCAGCCAUGAAACAGUGGGUCAGCUCCCCUGGUGCAGAUCUUUACGAGCACAGCAUGCAGGCUCUUGUUCAUCACUGGUAAAAAUGCACAACUAAUGGUGGUGGCUAUGUUGAAAAACACUAUCAAAU